UUCACCUUGGUUCCGGUGUCCAUGGGAGAGGCUCCGACGUCUGCGUUGAGAACCGUAUCAUGGAGACUAUUUCCCGAUCAAUGUCAGGCCAAACUUACGUUCCUCCUGAGUCCUUGUAACAUCAACGGUCAACGAUGUUUCCAUUUCAGGGGAAAGCGUCAACAGAGCUGAUUUCGUAGCGUGUCCCGUAGUAAUCGAUCGAGAUUAAGUAUGAUAACUAACGAAACUCAAUUAUGGUUAGUCCGGUUUUUCGAGCUUAUCAGGUGAAGAGCGGGUGCACUGAGAAUGGUCAGGUUUUGUUUCGUUGAUAAUUGCUUAGCUGAUAUUCCUACUUGAUAAAUUUAUUAGAAAGUUAUAUUUCGUUUCGUGAAUUAAGAUACUUGUUGAAGGAAGCUAUUUAAAUUCGUAUAGCUAUUAAAUUUAAAUUUGUGAAUAAUACAGAAAAUUUCAGAUCGUAUCCAAACUUUAUAUUGUUCAAUAGUAUAAAGUGGAAUUGUUUGUAAAUUUGUGUGAAAAUUGUCUUAGUAGAAAAUCAUCAAAUUUAUAUUAUACAGGAGAAAUAUAUUUUCAAUUAAAAAUUUCCCUUUCGAUUCAGAUUUGCAAAAUUUUAUACAUAUUAUAAUAAAAUCCAUAUGUUAUAUUCGACAUAUAAUAAUAAUAAUAAUAUUUCAAAUUUCCAAAUAUUGUUUGAAUAUUCAUACUGAUUUAAUUGGAUAGACUCUUUGAACUAUAUUCACAUUACAACAAAAUUAUCAAUAUUUACCUUUCUAUACGUACUUUCUUUAUUCUAUCAAAUAUCGAAUGAAAAAGCACUUCUUUACAAAUUUCAACACUUCUUUGCUUGGUUAAAUUUAAACCACACAUUUUACAACUUUUGUAUGAGGGUAUACAUAUCCAUUAUCUACUAAAAAUCACCUGUUCCGUGCAGAUAUGAUUGAAUGUACACUGAUAUCAACUCACCAACCUCGCUCAGGUCCAGUAAUUACACUAAUGAACGUCUGCCAUGGUCUGUUUACAAAUAGGAUUUUAUUCAGUUGUUUCCGAAAGGGAAUCAAUAAUUCUAACAAUGAUGGACGUAAAGCGUAAUAGUACCAGUAAUACAGUAUCGAUGAUGUUUCUAUUUCAUACUUUCCAAGUUGCACGUCUGAUUACGAACGUUGUUGACCUGUUUGUUACAGACUUUUUCUCUGUACAUAACUGAGAAAUCAAAUAGCUGCAUCCUUACAGCUAGCAAGAAGGAUUAAUUGAGGUAUCGUGGAUAAUUAGUUUGGGUCGGGUUUCGUAUUUAACUUCGCUGAUAUAGGAAACGUUUGACUCGACGACGAGGAAAUAGUUAGCUCAUUAAAGAAGAGGGAGGAGUGAGAAAAGCAGCGCAAGGCUGAGAGAAAGCGAUGGAACGGGUGCCAUUUACUUCAUUAUACGCUUUCUGUAAAAUUAUGCCGUUUAAAGAGUCCGUUUUAUCAUUCAACGUGCACAUCUGACAAAUUAUUGCUUACUGAAUAAGAUUUAUUAAAUUCUUCCAGACUGUGAAGCGUUUGCACACGAUUUCACGAAAGUUAAAGUUUUCAUAAAUCUUCAAUAUUUUUUCAUAUUUGUCGUAUAUGAAAUUAUAAUGGCCACAGUUUGUCUUAAUUAUUUUUUUGUUUUAUCUGUAUCUUGUCGUCCAAUUCGUCGCUGUUUUCUUAUUCACUUACCCGUGGAUGAUAUUCUUUCGUUCGUUAGUUUCUAUCAUGAUGCGAUCUACUUGAUUUAAUUAUGUCAAGAUUAAAAUGUAAAUUACGAUAUUCCGUGAAUUAUAUUUUCAUAAAACUUUAAGUUACGUUUCAAAACGUUAGUAUAUCUCUGUAUCUCAUACUUUAGCAUCUAUAUUAGCGCGCUUAUUCGGUUCUUUUUAUCAAUAAAAUAAAAUUUAUCUGUCUCAUGGCUAAUUUAAUUCCAGUCUAUUCUUCGUGAAAAGAUUUUUUAUGGUAUACAUUCUCGACUUGCACACUAUGUACUUUGUUAGCUCGGCUUCCUCAACUUAAAUUGCCAUUUAACUAUCUCACUAACAGGGAUUGGUAUAACGCGAUUUACAAAGGCAUUCCGCGUGUUUGCAACGACUAAAUUGACUUGCCUGGCGUGAUAUUAGAACGAACUAAAGGAGCAAUUGCGGAGGGGACGGCUGGGAAUGCAGAUAAGUUGAGAAACUGAAUUCUGUUUUUCAUCGAUGAAGUCAAUAUUACGAAAUAGCAGUGGCGUCUGGGUAAACCGGAAUCGAACGCAAGCCAGGGGUAGGGAUAACGAACUUCUGCAAGAUGUUACUGAAUUUGCCAGUUCCGUAGCCCGGGGUGAGCCGCUAUACGGUGAUUAAAUUUCCUAGUUGCACUGCUGCGAAGGGUUAUUCCAUAGGAAAUUUAAACAACGGCUUUAAGGAACGGUUUCUCGUUCGCUUCCUCUCCCUCUCUUCUCUUACGCAACGGAUCGCUAGGUUCCGUGCCGGCUGCUUUUCCGGCCCUCCUAAAUAUCGUUUUUCCCCUGUUGCGGUCUCGUUACCAUGUUCCAGGAAAUUCAGCCGCAGGCUACGAGACCGGGAAACGUUCGCCGCGAAUUAUUCAUGUAGUAACAUUUACGUUGCUUCAAAGUCUCGUGAUUUUGUAUCCCCGGACAUGCUUCGUGUUUCUUCCUCCAUCUUUUCCUUUAAUGUUCGCCCGGUGACGUUAUCUGAUUCUUUGAUGGGGGAGGUAAGCAUGUUUUCUGGUUAUCGCUUUUGUCUGCGGAGCCGCGAACAACCCGAUUAACGUUCGUUGCAGAACGGAACUUCUCAGCCUCUGGGAUGAAAUUACUGAGAUUAAGACAGAGAAAAUUAAACUUUUCCGCCACCCCCCUCUUUCGCUUUGCCGUGCUUUUCUCUCUAAUUUCUUGCAAAUCGAAAUUUAUGGGUGCGAACCUUGCGGAGAAAUGGCAGCACGCUGAAUUGAAAAUAUUCAGCAUCCUCCCACGUACUUCCAUGUCGACGUCGUUGCUACACAUUUCUCCUCAUGAGUGACUCUUACAAGUUAAUGAGGAAAACGAACGACACGAACGUGUCUACCAACCUUUAUGCUAUUUUUCGGUCUUGCGGAAUAAAUAAAAUUCUGAUUAUUCGGUCAUUUCGUCGUAACGUUAAUUUUUUUUUGUUAUUGUAAUAGUUGCCGGCAUGGUAUUAGUUUUACGUGUCAUUUAACUUAAUGAACGUGGUACAUCAUAUAGGGCGAGCAUGAACUCGCGAGGGGUCAAUAAUUGAAUCACCGAAAAUUGCUUUAAUGUAAAGGUGAAAAUAAAAUUUGUAAAUUAAAUUUUGCGCCGGGAUAACGUCGAAACGGUUUUCAUUUUAAUUGUAUGAUAAUACAGUUUGUAAAAUGGAUUUCUGCAGCGAACGCAGUUAAAGCAAAAAGAGGAAACUGUUGUUGCAAAGGGUAGCGCGUAUUCAUGGAAAAUAAUGGGGGAUUUUUAAGCGGAUAAAAGAUUUUUAAUGAACUGAUUUUUAACGAAAAUAUCAACAAAAUAUUAUAAUGUUUCCUAACCAGAAACUUUAUUACACAACUGUAUAUAUUAAUAUCAUAUCCCCCAAAAUAUAAUAAAAACUAACGAAAAUAACAAUUUAAGCAUAUCGCGAUACAGCAAAUACCACUAUGGGAAUGGUCGCAUGGUAAACCAUUAGCUUAUCAUUUUAAAUGUACGGAUUCCUAUGGUUUCCGUUAGAUUACUUUUCUAGAAAAGAAGGCAACGCGAAACGCGCGGCGGCAGAUGCAGGAAAUCUGUUUGCCCGAUAACUGGCUGAAAGCGUGAAAUCCUUGUAUCUCGAAUCGAAGCGGAUACCGCCGUAUCUUGAAAGGUACAGAUUUUCCCGACAGCUGUCGAUCUUUUUUCUCAACAGUUCCUAACUUCUUUUCUUUCUCCAUCUCCUUAAUUUGCUGGAGGAUAUAGAAUUUUUUGACGACGUUGUCGAGUAACGGGAUUAGUCUGUUGCGGCGAUUAACAUGCUAAUGAGCUCGAUGGUUUUCGUCUGGUGAUGGAACUCAUUCUCGUGCACGAAUAAUAAAUUGCACGUUUCGCAGACUCAUUUUUAAGGAGCAGCUAAUUGUGUUGUUUCCUAGAGCGAAAUUAAUUGCGCUUUUAUACCGAUACCGCUUCCGGGAUCUGAUAUAUUUCAACUAUUUGUUCACUGGUGCGAUACGUUCAUUUGUAAGAGGGUGUCAUAUUGUAAAUCAAGAUUAGUAUGUAUCUCUUCAAUUUAUAUUUUUAUCAGAAAGUAUGGUAUAUUUCAACUCUGAUUUGUUUACUUUUCUGAUAUGCCUGUUUAUAACAAAGUAUAUUGUAAAUCAUGAUCUUUUUCGUUAAUUUGAAAAUUUUAUUUUGAAAAAUUGUAUCUCUAUUGAAAAUAUGUUUAACUAAAGAUGUAUAAAUACGUACACCGCUUUCAUAAACAUUAAGAAACUA